GAUGAACGCUAGCGGCAGGCCUAACACAUGCAAGUCGAGGGAGAGGUUAUCUUCGGGUAACCAAAACCGGCGCACGGGUGCGUAACGCGUAUACAAUCUGCCUUUCACAUAGGGAUAGCCCGAAGAAAUUUGGAUUAAUACCUAAUGGUAUAUAAGAGCGGCAUCGUUUUUAUAUUAAAGCUACGGUGGUGAAAGAUGAGUAUGCGUUCUAUUAGCUAGUUGGAGAGGUAACGGCUCCCCAAGGCGACGAUAGAUAGGGGUUCUGAGAGGGAUGUCCCCCACACUGGUACUGAGAUACGGACCAGACUCCUACGGGAGGCAGCAGUGAGGAAUAUUGGACAAUGGUCGGAAGACUGAUCCAGCCAUGCCGCGUGCAGGAUGAAGGUCCUAUGGAUUGUAAACUGCUUUUGUAAGGGAAGAAUAAGGAGUACGUGUACUUUGAUGACGGUACCUUACGAAUAAGCAUCGGCUAACUCCGUGCCAGCAGCCGCGGUAAUACGGAGGAUGCGAGCGUUAUCCGGAAUCAUUGGGUUUAAAGGGUCCGUAGGCGGGCUGAUAAGUCAGAGGUGAAAGCGCUUAGCUCAACUAAGCAACUGCCUUUGAAACUGUCAGUCUUGAAUGAUUGUGAAGUAGUUGGAAUGUGUAGUGUAGCGGUGAAAUGCUUAGAUAUUACACAGAACACCGAUAGCGAAGGCAUAUUACCAACAAUUUAUUGACGCUGGUGGACGAAAACGUGGGGAGCGAACAGG
rnacentral:rRNA from 1 species